AGAGUUUGAUCCUGGCUCAGGAUGAACGCUGGCGGCGUGCUUAACACAUGCAAGUCGAACGGGAAAUAUUUCAUUGAGACUUCGGUGGAUUUGAUCUAUUUCUAGUGGCGGACGGGUGAGUAACGCGUGGGUAACCUGCCUUAUACAGGGGGAUAACAGUCAGAAAUGGCUGCUAAUACCGCAUAAGCGCACAGAGCUGCAUGGCUCAGUGUGAAAAACUCCGGUGGUAUAAGAUGGACCCGCGUUGGAUUAGCUUGUUGGUGGGGUAACGGCCCACCAAGGCGACGAUCCAUAGCCGGCCUGAGAGGGUGAACGGCCACAUUGGGACUGAGACACGGCCCAGACUCCUACGGGAGGCAGCAGUGGGGAAUAUUGCACAAUGGGGGAAACCCUGAUGCAGCGACGCCGCGUGAGUGAAGAAGUAUUUCGGUAUGUAAAGCUCUAUCAGCAGGGAAGAAAAUGACGGUACCUGACUAAGAAGCCCCGGCUAACUACGUGCCAGCAGCCGCGGUAAUACGUAGGGGGCAAGCGUUAUCCGGAUUUACUGGGUGUAAAGGGAGCGUAGACGGUUUGGCAAGUCUGAUGUGAAAGGCAUGGGCUCAACCUGUGGACUGCAUUGGAAACUGUCAUACUUGAGUGCCGGAGGGGUAAGCGGAAUUCCUAGUGUAGCGGUGAAAUGCGUAGAUAUUAGGAGGAACACCAGUGGCGAAGGCGGCUUACUGGACGGUAACUGACGUUGAGGCUCGAAAGCGUGGGGAGCAAACAGGAUUAGAUACCCUGGUAGUCCACGCCGUAAACGGUGGAUGCUGGAUGUGGGGCCCGUUCCACGGGUUCCGUGUCGGAGCUAACGCGUUAAGCAUCCCGCCUGGGGAGUACGGCCGCAAGGCUAAAACUCAAAGAAAUUGACGGGGGCCCGCACAAGCGGCGGAGCAUGCGGAUUAAUUCGAUGCAACGCGAAGAACCUUACCUGGGCUUGACAUGUAAUGAACAACAUGUGAAAGCAUGCGACUCUUCGGAGGCGUUACACAGGUGCUGCAUGGCCGUCGUCAGCUCGUGUCGUGAGAUGUUUGGUUAAGUCCAGCAACGAGCGCAACCCCUGUUGCCAGUUACCAGCACGUGAAGGUGGGGACUCUGGCGAGACUGCCCAGAUCAACUGGGAGGAAGGUGGGGACGACGUCAGGUCAGUAUGGCCCUUAUGCCCAGGGCUGCACACGUACUACAAUGCCCAGUACAGAGGGGGCCGAAGCCGCGAGGCGGAGGAAAUCCUAAAAACUGGGCCCAGUUCGGACUGUAGGCUGCAACCCGCCUACACGAAGCCGGAAUCGCUAGUAAUGGCGCAUCAGCUACGGCGCCGUGAAUACGUUCCCGGGUCUUGUACACACCGCCCGUCACAUCAUGGAAGCCGGUCGCACCCGAAGUAUCUGAAGCCAACCGCAAGGAGGCAGGGUCCUAAGGUGAGACUGGUAACUGGGAUGAAGUCGUAACAAGGUAGCCGUAGGGGAACCUGCGGCUG
rnacentral:rRNA from 1 species